rnacentral:rRNA from 2 species
AGACCCGAAACCCGGUGAUCUAGCCAUGGGCAGGUUGAAGGUUGGGUAACACUAACUGGAGGACCGAACCGACUAAUGUUGAAAAAUUAGCGGAUGACCUGUGGCUGGGGGUGAAAGGCCAAUCAAACCGGGAGAUAGCUGGUUCUCCCCGAAAGCUAUUUAGGUAGCGCCUCGUGAAUUCAUCUCCGGGGGUAGAGCACUGUUUCGGCUAGGGGGCCAUCCCGGCUUACCAACCCGAUGCAAACUGCGAAUACCGGAGAAUGUUAUCACGGGAGACACACGGCGGGUGCUAACGUCCGUCGUGAAGAGGGAAACAACCCAGACCGCCAGCUAAGGUCCCAAAGUCAUGGUUAAGUGGGAAACGAUGUGGGAAGGCCCAGACAGCCAGGAUGUUGGCUUAGAAGCAGCCAUCAUUUAAAGAAAGCGUAAUAGCUCACUGGUCGAGUCGGCCUGCGCGGAAGAUGUAACGGGGCUAAACCAUGCACCGAAGCUGCGGCAGCGACACUGUGUGUUGUUGGGUAGGGGAGCGUUCUGUAAGCCUGUGAAGGUGUGUCGUGAGGCAUGCUGGAGGUAUCAGAAGUG